GAUGAACGCUGGCGGCGUGCCUAAUACAUGCAAGUCGAGCGAACAGACGAGGAGCUUGCUCCUCUGACGUUAGCGGCGGACGGGUGAGUAACACGUGGAUAACCUACCUAUAAGACUGGGAUAACUUCGGGAAACCGGAGCUAAUACCGGAUAAUAUAUUGAACCGCAUGGUUCAAUAGUGAAAGACGGUUUUGCUGUCACUUAUAGAUGGAUCCGCGCUGCAUUAGCUAGUUGGUAAGGUAACGGCUUACCAAGGCAACGAUGCGUAGCCGACCUGAGAGGGUGAUCGGCCACACUGGAACUGAGACACGGUCCAGACUCCUACGGGAGGCCGCAGUAGGGAAUCUUCCGCAAUGGGCGAAAGCCUGACGGAGCAACGCCGCGUGAGUGAUGAAGGUCUUCGGAUCGUAAAACUCUGUUAUUAGGGAAGAACAAAUGUGUAAGUAACUAUGCACGUCUUGACGGUACCUAAUCAGAAAGCCACGGCUAACUACGUG
rnacentral:rRNA from 1 species